rnacentral:misc_RNA from 1 species
CUGAAGAAACAAGGGUUUUUGAGACUGCGUCCAUUAUAUUGGCGUGUGCUCGACCCUUACUCUUUCAUCCACACACACCUUUGUGCACCAAGGGGACCGUUGCGUCCCCCUUUUCUUCUACAAAUACCGAGUUAUAUGCAUGUCUAUUUUGUAAUACUCUAUGGAGUAAAUAAAUA